CUACGGGAGGCAGCAGUGGGGAAUAUUGGACAAUGGGGGCAACCCUGAUCCAGCCAUGCCGCGUGUGUGAAGAAGGCCCUCGGGUUGUAAAGCACUUUCAGUGAGGAAGAACGCCUGGUGGUUAAUACCCAUCAGGAAAGACAUCACUCACAGAAGAAGCACCGGCUAACUCCGUGCCAGCAGCCGCGGUAAUACGGAGGGUGCGAGCGUUAAUCGGAAUUACUGGGCGUAAAGCGCGCGUAGGUGGCUUGAUAAGCCGGUUGUGAAAGCCCCGGGCUCAACCUGGGAACGGCAUCCGGAACUGUCAAGCUAGAGUGCAGGAGAGGAAGGUAGAAUUCCCGGUGUAGCGGUGAAAUGCGUAGAGAUCGGGAGGAAUACCAGUGGCGAAGGCGGCCUUCUGGACUGACACUGACACUGAGGUGCGAAAGCGUGGGUAGCAAACAGGAUUAGAUACCCCGGUAGUC
rnacentral:rRNA from 1 species